CCUUGUGGUUGUCCCUGGCGAUGCAUGACGCGCACCGUGUAAUCGCACGAGUUUGUGACGUGCCAGAGGAAGCGUUCGACGUUAAUUUGAACAUUUUUCCUUGAUGAUAAUGAUGACACAAACCCGGAUAGAUCAGUUCUAUAAAGUUUCGAGUAGCGGCAAUAAAUCAGCAAAAGUGAAAAACAACAUCAAGAUGUCAUCCAGGAGUCCAGUGCUUGGUAAGACGAAAAGAGGACAAGCAUUGGAAAAAUCGAGAACUUCUAUAACGGCAAACACUGGCAAGGCAUCUCUUUCUAAGGCUAAUGUGAAUAAUAGCCCUAUGAAAAUUAUGGAAAAUAGAAUGUUAACAUCACCGACUGCUAAACACACUUCUCCUAUUAAAAGUCAACAACGUACUCCGGAGUCUCGUAGUGGCACAAAGUUCACGCCAAAGACGUCGUCACCAAUAAAAGAUGCACUAGACAGGUCACCAGAACGCGCCAAGAUGGUGCGAAGGAAAUUAUUUAAAGAGAGAACCGAGAAAUUGGUGUCUACGAUGAUAAAUAAUCUAAAUUUGGCCAAGGAAGGCGCUAUCGCUAACAAUAACAUCGAUCUUGAGAAAGCUUAUUCGAGCAAGAUAUUUAAUUACAGAUACAAUCCCAUAGACACUACAGCUUCGACGAGAUAUGAAAUUAACGAUGUAGUCAUACCUACAGAUAUGUACUCACUACACUUUUUCCUGGCCAUUGUUAUCGUGUUUUCCAAUCCAAUCAAUUGCGGGUAUUUCGAUCGGGACGAGCUGGAUUUGAUAUUUUCACUGAUCACCCUUCGAAAGAGUGCACAAGCGUUAUUGAUACGAAUGCUCAAGAAAAAGCACACGUGGCACAGAGUAAGCAAUAUAAAAUAUGAUGAAAUAUCCACCGACUUGAAACCCAUCUUCGACGAACUUGUAUCGCGAUCUAUUUUUAAAAGUAACACACAAGAGGAAGACAUAUCCGUUUUAUUGAACUUGCUGCAAGCUGAUGAGAUUCGUAAGCUUUGUCAAGAAUCAAAGAUCAACGCUAGUGGGAAGAAGAACGGUAUACAAUCGAUUCUGACGUUCUGUCGCAAAACAAAAUCAUUAUUUCCUGGAAUGGCGACUCCAGCCACUAAGUUACGCGCGUUGGUUAACAAACGCUUAGGGGAUUGUAUAUCAUUGAAUGUUAGAAUAAAAGAAUUGAUUGAUAGGAUAAUCGUACUAUUAGUGCCUAAUCGAGACCCCGCUGAAACAUUGGUGGACGUAUUUCUAACGUUAUUGAGAGUUGAGACGGAUCAGAUAAAAUUUCCAGAAAUAACCAUAAGUGACUUCCCUAUCUUCGCCAAUAAGGAACAUCUGUUAGAUUAUAUUGAGGCUAAAAAUACGUUAACUAAUUUGUUAAGUGCAAUCGAGGAAAAAAAAUGGGAGACUGUACGGAAUCUCGGAACUUUAGCCGCGCAACGUUUGCAGCUCGUUGUUGACGUAGAGUCGGAUUGUAUUCAAGAUUCCAGUCUGCCUCAUUACAUCAGGCAUUUUAUGCCAAGUUACUUGUGGCUCAAAAUUUUGUCCAAAAGCAUCGACGCGUUUAAAAAGACUAUAGAAACGAUACCACUGGCGAUAGAAUUUUUGCAAAUGUUAAUAAAUCAAAAUUGUCAUAUGAAAUACAGAAAGGGUCAAUGGUACAGUGAAUUAAUCAAAAUAGAAAUGCAUCACAGGAAAAAUUUUGACGCAAGCGUCGCAUUACUCUCGGACGCGAUUACGUAUGAGAACUUGACAGAAGUUGAUAGAUUAGACUUAAAGGACAGAGCUGAGAGAAUUGCUAAUAGAAAAUCCGGCAUUAGCAAAAGUACAAAAGACAGUGUUAAACUUAUGUUGGAUAACAUGUUCAGCAAUAUACAACUUACGCCUUCGAGCUCUAUUACAAUAAACGGAUCAUUAUGCGGAAGAAAUACUUCACAUGGGAAGAGCAAUUGGUGCAUCAGUAGCAACACAGAUCAACAAAUGUAUGGCUCGGUUGAAAGUCUGGCAUUAUAUUAUUACAAAGGCGAGGGAUACAUCAAGGGUAUGCAUUGCGAGGGUGCCUUUCCGAUCACCUUAUUCGCUACAUUAUUUUGGGAUGAAAUAUAUAAUAUGAACAUUCCCGGCGCUUGGGUAUCAUUGUAUCAGUAUGCGCCAUUGGAUUUAUAUUCAUCGGAAUUUUAUGAGAAUAGAAAGGAACAAAUUGAUAUGAAACUUCAAAUUAUUCGAAAAUUCGAUUCAGAAACGUUGAGCAGACAUUUAAAGCAUGAAUUCGAAAUGCACUGCGAAUACGCGUCUAUUAUUCAAGCCAAUAUUUUUAAGGACAGUAACUGUUUCCAGGAAGUAGCAUUUUGCUUAGGAGUGGAGGGUGUUGUUGGAAUAUGCAAACGACUCAUUCAUAAUUUCUCACUCUGGAGAGCUGGCUUUCCAGAUUUAAUUGUGUGGAAUGCAAAUACAAAACAGUACAAAAUUGUGGAGGUGAAGGGUCCGAAUGAUACACUGUCAACCAAACAAAAAUUAUGGUUGGAUUACUUGAAUCGGCUUGGACUGAAUACAGAAGUGUGCUAUUGUGAGUCAAAUACGAGUCAAGGACGAAAACGCAAGCAUGAUGAAAUUGUGAUAUAAACGCUUUUGUGAAGUGAUAUAUUACACUGUGUGUAAAAAAGAUAAAAAAUUAUAUUUGAUACUUUAAAUAUUGCAAUUUCUAUUUGUAGAUUUUUUUUAUUUACAAAUUGAAACUUGAGCUAUUUUUCAGCAAAUAUUUUUGAUAAUCAAGAGAUUUUUUUACAAUGAAGGAGUCUUUGCACUUACUGCACUUGUUUUGUGGCUGGCGUUUCCUCUAUAUUGAACUCGGCGACCGGUACAUUACGUUGCGCUACUUGCGGUGCGAACAUAGCAGCUGGAUAUACGAUCGCCGAUGUCCCGAUGACCAGGCAAGCGUCGCAUGUUUCCACAAUUUCAUCUGCAGUCUCAAAGAAUUAAUAUGAUAUAAAUAUAUUUCAAUUUUUUAUAUGUAUUUUAUAUGCAGUACUAAGAUGUGUUUUUAAUUAAAGGCUCUGUUUUAAUUUC